CACUUGCCUCAUCUGGCACUUGGGUGCUGAGGACAGAAGGAGAAGCAAUCAAACUCCAAAUGGUGUUGCAGACAGAACCUCACAUGGACACGCCAUUCUUCUGAGAACCCUUACAUCAACCUCAGGAGGAGGCCCAACUGCUGUCCCUCACAGGAUGCCCCUUUUUCAGCAGGAAGUAGCCAGAAAGAAUUGUCAUCCAACACCCCCUAACAGCAGUUAGAUUUACUUCCCCAGAUGGUGGAAAUAGUAUGGGAGUUAUUUAGAAAUAAUUUUUAGGCAGCCAGAAAGGGUGAAAGUUCUCAGUGGAAUUUUCCUUUAAUGAAAAGCAACCCCAAAAGCAUUUUUUUUCUAACAGAAAGCGACUUAAAAAACCAGACUAGCAAACACUGAUAUGCAAAUGCUGGCGGCUAGAAGCCAGGUACAUUCAACAUGGUGUCUCCUGCCCUCUUUAUCUUGUCACCAUGUGUGCCAGGUGUCAUGGCAACCUCCAGAUAAAGCCACGUGUGCAGGACAUCAUGGCAAACCGCAUUUGCAUAUGAAAGGCUAGGGUGGCAGGGCCAGUUUUUUCACGGGCUACCUGAAUGACACACCUGGUCAAACCAAUCCCCUGGGCCCUAUGCAAAUCAGACACUGCCUCCUCCAGCCUCCCAAUAUAACUGACUGCUUUCCGCUGCACGUGGGGUUUUUCCGUUCGGAGCCCCCCUCCCUCUGUACAGGGGAGCAGUUUUCUUCUUUCUUGCCUAUUAAACUUUCCACUUCUUGAAACCACUCCAUGUGUGUCCAUGUCACUAAUUUUCUUGGUGAGAGACAAAGGACCCUGGAUGUUUCUCCAGACAACGGAGCCGUAUCACAUUCAGAUAGUUGGGGGUGGGAGAGGGG
rnacentral:lncRNA from 10 species